rnacentral:lncRNA from 1 species
UUAACAACCUUACCAACUCCAACACAACGUAGCAAAUAGGACGGCUAUGAAAUAAGAUGGCAAGGAAGAAGUUUAGCGCAUUAGAAAUCUCUCUGAUUGUCCUCUUUGCCAUUGUUACUAUAAUAGCUAUUGCCCUAGUCAUUGUUUUAGCAACUAAUACACCUGCUGUUGAUGAAAUAACUCCUACUUCAACUCCAGCUGGUUUAGG